GAAUAAGCAGCAGGAGCUACUAAGCAUGGGUCAGGCUGGCAGAAUCUAGGUGGUUUACAGCUGACUUACUACAGAUGAAGUGUCAGGGAAGAAAAUGUGCAGGUAUUUGCUGUGGCCAAGUCUGCUCUAUCGUCAACACAAGAUGAGGAAGCCAUGCGGUUCCAGGCCUGAGACGGGAAAGAGGAGGAUCCUGCUGCAGCUGGCUCCCAGGCAUGGAGGUGUGGGUUGAAGAACCUUGGAGCUGCGGGAGGAUCAGAGUGAGUCUCCUGACUGUACUGCCAUGUUGUUGUGCACUUCAGGUCCUUUACAUCAGAGAAGUCAAUUGAGAGGAUGCCUUUAUUCCUGUGGCUCCAGG